rnacentral:misc_RNA from 1 species
UUUCCGUAGGUGAACCUGCGGAAGGAUCAUUCAUAAUAAAGUGUUUUAUGGCACUUUUCAAAAAUCCAUAUCCACCUUGUGUGCAAUGUUAGAUCUCGUCAAUCUUGGCGAAAUUUUUAUGCAUCAACUCAUUCUUUAACUAAUUUGUCUGAAAAAUAUUAUGAAUACUUAAUUCAAAAUACAACUUUCAACAACGGAUCUCUUGGCUCUC